rnacentral:rRNA from 1 species
UGGGGAAUAUUGGACAAUGGGGGCAACCCUGAUCCAGCGAUGCCGCGUGUGUGAAGAAGGCCUGAGGGUUGUAAAGCACUUUAGUUGGGGAGGAGAGGCUUAAGUCGAAUAGGCUUAAGAGUAGACGUUACCCAAAGAAUAAGCACCGGCUAACUCUGUGCCAGCAGCCGCGGUAAUACAGAGGGUGCAAGCGUUAAUCGGAAUGACUGGGCGUAAAGGGCACGUAGGCGGAUAGAUGUGUCAUAGGUGA